GGUUGUGGCUCAGUGGUAGAGCUCUUGCCUGUCAUGUGAAGCACUGGGUUCAAUUCUCAGCACCA
rnacentral:tRNA from 1 species